rnacentral:misc_RNA from 1 species
GAUGAAGAACGUAGCGAAACGCGAUAGGUAUUGUGAAUUGCAGAAUUUCGUGAAUCAUCGAAUCUUUGAACGCAUAUUGCGCCUUCCGGUAUUCCGGGAGGCAUGCCUGUUUGAGCGUCAUUUCAACCCUCAAGCCCCCGGGCUUGGUGUUGGGGAUCGGCGUGCCCUCGCGGCGCGCCGUCCCCUAAAUCUAGUGGCGGUCUCGCUGUAGCUUCCUCUGCGUAGUAGCAACACUCGCACUGGAUCGCAGCGCGGCCACGCCGUUAAACCCCCCACUUCUGAAAGUUUGACCUCGGAUCAGGUAGGAAUACCCGCUGAACUUAAGCAUAUCAAUAAGCGGAGGA